rnacentral:rRNA from 1 species
GCUUAACGCGAAGAACCUUACCCACCUUUGUACAUCCCGUCGCUACCUAGAGAGAUCUAGGGUCCCGUUCGGGCGCGGAGACAGGUGCUGCAUGGCUGUCGUCAGCUCGUGUCGUGAGAUGUUGGGUUAAGUCCCGCAACGAGCGCAACCCUCGCUUCUAGUUGCCAGCAUUUAGUUGGGCACUCUAGAGGAACUGCCUGCGCCAAGCAGGAGGAAGGCGGGGAUGACGUCAAGUCCUCAUGGCCCUUACAGGUGGGGCUACACACGUGCUACAAUGGCGGUGACAAAGGGAUAAUCCCUAAAAGCCGUCUCAGUUCGGAUUGUCCUCUGCAACUCGAGGGCAUGAAGUUGGAAUCGCUAGUAAUCGCGAAUCAGCAGUGUCGCGGUGAAUACGUUCCCGGGUCUUGUACACACCG